AGGAAUUUUCUGCAACCUUUUGUAACCCUCCAUCAGAAAAGCCACAUGAUAACCAAAGAAAUAUGCCAGAAGGCAAAGCUUUGCCAUUACUAUAGAACUAGAGGUAAUGAAUAGUGAAAUACAUGGGCUUUAAUCAAGGAGAUGGACUGAAAUCAGGCUCUGAAAAGUUGUGUAUGAACAUCUAAAUUGCUUACUAAAAUUCUGACUGUGCAUGUACCUACAGCCAAAUAUCAAAGCAGAUAGAGGGUGUCUGAAAAAGACUAGCAUACCCUGAGCUGCUGAUUGCAAUCAGGUUCUGUAUAACCUUUUAAAAGCAAAUGCUUAUCAAAAUUCAGUUCAUGUUUUGGGCCUAUCUAAUGUUUCUGUCUUCUUAGAUGAAUAUAACCUGAAGGCAGACACUCUGAACCAAGAAAAGGAUCCAGACUGAGAUGCGACUGAUUUCACUGGAUCUGGUGCACUAGAAAACAGUCCUGACUGCAGAAGGCUUCCACAUGCUUCAGCUGUUUACAUCUCUGGAUCAAGUUAACCCUUCUGGCUUCAAAUGAAUUGGAACCAUCUCAGACUAUACCCUGUCUUCUCUGACUUUUAGGAGCUGCAGCAGAUAAUACAGGGCAAUAACAUUUCAACCAUUUCGAGCACUAUUUAUUUGACCAUGGCCUAACUUAUCCUUCCACUUUUUCUGCUUUUGAAAAUAUCUAGCUUUAAUUUUACCCAAGAUUGCUAUACAAAAGCUUUCUAUAAAAUGAUCCCUCAGCAAAGCCAGGAGCAAAGACAAAGCAAGAUGGACGAUGAUCUUACAAAAUCUUUUCCAACGUAGUUGAUUCUAUGGUUAUAUGAGGAGGAACAAAGGAAAAAAAAAAAGAGAGGAAAUAAUUUGGUAACAAGGAAGGGGAUGAGGAGAAAAAAACUGUUCAGAACCUCUGUGGUUAAGUCACUGCUGGGAGAGAGGAAAUGCUGUGCCGUUCCCAGAACUGCUUUUGUAUUUUCACAUGAAAAUACAGAAGAAUAAUAAAAUUAAAUACAAGUUAAAUAGAAGUUAUGUAUCAACAGGCAAUGAAAUACAAUGUGAUUCCUUCUGCCUGCCAAGUGAGUUUCUUGCCCACAAGCUGAAAAAGUCUUGCUCACCUUUACAGUCUUCCCUCUCCAGUCACUGCAGCCAGCAGAUCACUUCCUUCCCGGGGGAAACACUUGCCAGGCAGCUGGAGUGCUUUCCUGGAAAAAAAAAGUGAACCUCAAUUUCUAACUUUCUGGAUAAAUGUUGUUGUCAAGAGGCUAUUAGACAAGAAGUACAGCAUAGCACCUUGCUCUGCUGCUCUAGUGGUGUCAGUCGGAGCUGAGAGCCCCAGGGAGGUGAAGGCAAAGUAAAAUCUAUGCUCACAGCUCUGGAGAGGGGAGGAGGGGAGAAAGUAUUUAAAGAUUAUACCCUAUAUCUCAUUUCAGGUAUCUGAUUUCUCUUUUUAGGACUUACACCUACGAAAUAGCCUGUGAUUAAGGCUAGAAUCACUGGAAAGCAACAUAUUAAGCAAGAUCUAAAAGCUAUUGCAUGGUGGACUAUGAUUCCUGUAUUCUGAAAUCUCACCUACACAAAAAGGAUUACCAAAGGCUUUCCCACAUGGGUACAGAAAUAGCUUUUCUCUCCCCUCCCCCUUCAGUAAAAAUAAAUAAAUAAACAGUUUCCUUGGGUAUCUGACAGCUUGACUAAUUGUGAACAAGUUUUCAAAUGAGGAAUGGAACAGCAAGAUUUUCAAUCAAGUCUCACCACAGUGUAUAACUUUAAUUUGAAAUUUAUUGGAAAUAAAUUAGUGCAAUUAUCCACUGAA